rnacentral:lncRNA from 1 species
GUCUCCAUCAUUAAUAAUCACUACAACAGAACAGGAUAUUAGCGAAGCAAAAAAUUUAUCGCUGAUACUAGAUUUUUAUCGAUAAUAGUUAUUAGCAUGAAAUUAUCGUCACUAAUAUUUUAUCACAAAUAAUGGCAUCGUUGAUAACUUUUUAUGAUGAAAAAAAAUUAUCAUCGUCAAUAAUCGAUAUUACCGAUCAAAAAUUUUCAUCAUUAAAAUUUUUUUUUUCGAAAACUAUUCAUGAUGAAAAAUUUUCAUCGUAAAAAAAUAAUUUAUAAAAAAUUAUUACAUCGC